AUGUUCCAUUCCGGUCAGCGCCACUGCCACCUCAUUCCACCGACGAUCUCAACACCAUCACCUUCCUUCCGACUUCUCGCGGUUUGUGAGCAUCAUCACCGCCACGGCAAGCUGUUCGUUGUGUUUUCUUCUCCCGCCAACUCUGACUCAGCGAUGUUCCAACGAUGCUCCUCCCUCUCUUCUGAUAGCGCUCCGGCCAAUACCAUCUCCUUUUGGCUUCACCUUGAUUCCAGUAAAGACAAUAAGGCUUAG